AUGACUUGAACUCCCUUUCUUCUGGUUCUAUGAGGUGGAGGUCAUUUUGCCAGGUUUUGUUUCCCAACUAUACUUUUCCUAUUUGACAGCUGUCACUGCCAGACUUCACAAAUACUGCCAAAUCUAAUUUAGACAUUUUUUCCUAUGUAUACAUUAAAAAUAGUUAGAAUUAUCAUACUAGUGGUUUAUCUUCAACUUCUUAAUUCAAGUAUUGUGAGGGAAAGUGAUCUCAUCUCCAAAAUUGGAUUAAAUAUGUCCAACUUAAGUUUUUUCCAAAUUUUGCAUUAUGCAGCCUUAAAAAGGACUCAAAUGAAAAACUAGUGGAAUUUUUUUGUUAACUAUUCACAUUUUCAAAUAGGAAUAAUUAUUUGCUUAUAGAGAUAGACUCUCAAAUAAAUAAGGCUACAUUCAAUGAAUAAGCUAAAAUAGUCCCCAACAUUUUACACAUCUCUUCAAACAAAAACAACUUUUGUGCCAAAAAAUGAAUAUAAUGAGCACUUUGAGUAGACACAAACAUUUAAAGUCAGGUUGAGACUUCAGUCCAUGCAAUGGAAGACACCACCAAUGAAGUAUAUUCAGUCAUUCUUAAAAUUACAAUCUAUUAUAGUUUACCAAUAAUUUUCUAAAUCUGCCAUCAUAACCACAUACCUCACUAAAAAUUUUCAUUUUUUUUAAGACAGUAAACCUGUUAUUUUCUGAACACAAGACUGUAUGAUCCCUCUUAAGCUUUCUUUUCUAGCACAAAUUCACUUGUAAUACAGAGAUUAAUCCUCAAACAGUGCACAUGAAGGUAAAACACUUUUACCCAUCUGCCAUUCUGUGUCAAAGUUACACUCCUAUAUCUACAAACACAUCAUUCACCUUUGUUUUUUGAGUGUUGCUUUCAGACUACAUUUUCCACAGAUUUUUUUUUAUUUUUUUUUUUGAAUCCUUCAUGUCUGUCUCGUGUAGUUCAGUAGUUAGUGAGGUCACUAGACCGCUGGUCUGAUUCAAGGUACAUUUCCUGAGACCAGGCCAAAUAAGACCAUUUUAAUAGACAAUAGGUCACAAACUGUCCCUCCAUUAAAUUCUCUGUAUUACCCUUAAGUGGUUGUGCUUAUAAACUUGCAGCUAUUGCUUUACAUAUUGUAUUUAACUUAAUUCUGACCAAAACACAAUUUUCUGACUGCAUUAUAACAAUAGAAUCAUAGAAUCAUACAAUGGCAUGUGUUUGAAGGAACCUUAAGAAUCAUCUAGCUCCAGUCCUACGCUGUGGGAGAAGUUGCCACCCAUUAGAUCAGGCUGCCCAGGGCCCCAUCCAACAUGGUCUUGGAUAACUCCAGGGAUGGAGAGCCACAGCUUCUCGUGGCAGCCUAUGCUAGAGCCUCAUCACCCUCUGAGUGAAAAUUUUCCCCCCAACAUCUAAUUAAAUAUUCCCUCUUUUAGUUUAAAACUGUUCUCCCUUGCUCUAUCACUAUUAGUCCAUGUUAACAGUCAGCCUCCCUCCUGUUUGUAAGCUCCUUUUAAGCAUUGGAAAGCCACAAUAAGGUCUCCCUACUGGAGCCUUCUCUUCUCCAGGCUGAACAAGCCCAGCUCCCUCAGACUGUCUUUGUGGGAGAGGUGUUCCAGUCCUCUGAUCAUCUUUGUGGCCCUCCUCUGGAUACACUCCAAUAUAGCUGUAUGACAUUCAUGCACCUAGACCUGAAUACAAUACUCCAGAUGGGGCCUCACACAGUAGUAGUGAACAAUCACCUCACUGGCCCUGCUGGCCAUCCCUCUUUUGAUGCAAUCUGGGAUACAAUUAGACCUUCUGGGCUGCAAGCACACACUGCUGACUUAAGCCCAGCCUUUCCUCCAUCAGGACCCCCAAGUCCUUCUCUGCAGGGUUGCUUUCAAUGAGUCCUUCUCCCAGUAUGUAUGUAUGUGUACCCGAGACUGCUCCAACAAUAUGCAACACCUUGCUCUCACCUUUGUUGAAUCUCAUGAGGUUCAUGUGGGCUCACUUUUCAAGCUUGUCUAGGUCCCUUUGAAUGGUAUCCCUUCCUUCUUGGUGUGAUCAGCAAACUCACUGAGGGUGCGCUCAAUUCCACUGUGUUAUUGAUGAGGAUGUUGAAGAACAGUGGUCCCAAGAUGGACCCUUGUGAGACACCACUUGUGAUCAGCCUCCACUGAGACACAGAGCUGCUGACCACAAUCCUCUGGUUGCAGCUGUCCAACCAAUUUUUUAUCCACUGUAUAUUCCAACCUUCAAAUCUACUCAAAUUCUUUCCAAUUUAGAGAUAAGGAUGUAAUAAUAACGCUCUCAGGUUGUUUUCAAAAUAUCUUACAGACCACUCUGUGCUGAAUUCUGAUUCUUUUUGAUUCUUUUUUUGGGCAUAUUUGUCAAUGAUGAGUACCUGAUAAGCUCCAGUCUCACACAACAAUAAAAUCAGGUUCGUCUUCAGGGAGGAAACAAGCCCUUUCUCUGUGUGUCUAUACCUAUGCAGAACUUUCCACUGGCCUUGGCUGGAUCUCAUAGUGCCAACUGUACAAUUAGAAUAAUAUGACACUGUGUGGAGAAUAAGAAGCAUAAAUAAGUGAUGUUUUUUUGUUUGAAUGGCAUAUGCUUUUUAAUAGAUAUAGGCUGAAAGUAUGCUGGCCCUGCACUUAAAACAUCCCAAGGCCUGUUCUUCCUGGUUUCAGAGAUCUUGCUACUGUUAUUAUAAAAGUUAGAACUGGCUUUAGUUCCUGUGCCUUUUCAAUUCUUGCGACCUAAAAAGCUGCUGACAUUUCAAGUGACAAAUCUAGGCUCCUCCAGUUCCCAGAAGAUGAAGCAUAGCUUCAGAUAACAUGUGAAUCAGCUACUGCUGCCAAAUGGAAAUGGUGUCUUUUGGGGCUAAAACUUCAAAGAAAGGAUCCUGUAUUAGUAGCACUAAGUUUGCUGUACUUGCUGUUGUCUUGAACUUAAAAGCAGAUAAUAACGUUUGAAUCUGGAUAUGUAGAAGAUACCUUUCCUAACAGAACUCCCACCUCCCACAGGAAAAGAUGGCUUGGCAGCUGAACUACAAAAGCUCUGUAAUGACCUCUGUAAUGUUUAUUAGACAAUGAAAAGCUGUGCAGGGGUAAAAAAAAAAAAAAAAAAAAAAAAGGCAAUGCACGUAGGUGGCAAGGUGGGUGAAUAUUAUUUCUACCUUUCCUUUCAGGUCCUCAGAGGAAUCACUGGAUAUAUAAAUAAAAGCUACAAGCCACAAGAAUUACUGGAUAUAUAAAUUAAGCUACAAGCCAUUUCGCUGACUCUCAUCAACCUUGUUAAGUGAGAAAUCCAGAGAGGAUUGUGAUUCAGAGAGCAGCUGAUUGAUUCACCUCUUCCUGUUCUCACUCAGAGGCCACAGUACAUAAGCAGAAGGUCACAGGCCAUAUGGGAUGGAAGCCAUGCUCCAAAAUAAGUACUUUCCUCAGAAUGCAUGCAGAGAGGAACAUCAAGAUAUGUGCCUCUUCUUGUGUUCAAUUCAACACAGAAUUUGGCUUGAGUGUAGCAGAAACGUUUUUGGACACUGAGUAAUAUCACAAUUCCACAGUAAGCAAGUAAAAGGAAGUAGUGUCAUUAUAUUUAAUGACUCCUACAUUUAAAAAUAUCUGUGAAAAUUCUUGACACAGUAAGGAAACACAAAACAUACAGCAAUUGUUUGGAAUUGAAAUUCAUAUACGAAUAUUCAAGAAAGUCUGGGCUGAGUUUAUAUCCAACUCAAAAUAUAUAUAAUAAUAUAUAUAUAUUAUAAUAAAUAUAUGUAUAAUAUAUAUUUCCCUAUGCUUUACAGGCACUUGGAUCUAGUAUGUACGUGACUACCCAAAGCAGGCAGAAUUGUUUAAUUUAGCUUUCUAUAUACAACCUGUAGGUUAGGAACAGCGGACAGUACUCUGCAAUUUUACUGAUUGUUGUCUGUUUACCAUAAUUACAGAGAUAUUUUAAACUUCCGCAUUUUGUUGUAGGCAUAAUAUUAGGUAGGGAAUAGCAGCAGAACAUUUUGAGUAGUCUGUUAUUGUGGAUACAUCCUGAGGACUAGCUGAUGCUAUUUUUAGUCACUAUGUGGUUAACUGUGACUAGACUGAGGAUGUUAUUUUUUUGUUCAGUGUUUGAAGUUGCAAACAUUGAAUUUUGCAGUCUGAAAUUGCUGAAUUAAAAAAAAAUAUAUCUGAUUUUUAAUUAAAAGUUAUGAGUAUGCACACAGAUAUUUUCCUAUUACUGGUCUAUAUUGCUGUAGCUCAAUUAAAUUCAUUUAAGUUUCUGUUGAAGUAAGUCAGCUGAAUAAGAUAAAAACAUAAGUUCAUAAGCCAAUUCCAAUAUAUCCAUUAUUAAGGCUAUAUCCUUAAUCUAUGAUUUAUACAUAUGUAACCGUAUACAUUUGUGUGUGUAUAUAUAUGUAUAUAUAAAUGUGUAUGUAUGUAUAUAUACAUGCAUGUAAGUGCUGCCCUGAAAGUAAUGCCUCCUAUUUUAUUAUGUUGGCUGACAAAGUCAGAGGCAGAUGGUGGUGGUAUGGCAGUAGAGGUUGAACCUUCCCACAGAUAUUCCAUGACAUGUUGCCAAGCAACAGAUGGCAGCAGAGAGGCAGCCUGACAAAAUGAUGUCUCACACGGAAGUGGGUAUGAAGCAAAGCAGUGGAACUGAAUUCCUCCCUGUGGAAAAAAAUGGCACCCACCGACAUUCACUUAUGCUUGCUUGAUGUUGGUAGAAAUAGAAUUAAAGAAAGAACAUUGUAAAGCAACUGAAAUUUAAGAAAAGUAUACACAAAUCAGGUGUAUUCACAAUUAUUGGUCUGUACAAAGGACUUACAAAUAAUUUAAAAAAUGUUUUAAAUUCAUUUGUAUUCUUAUUUGCAAGGACUUGAUUUAACAUUUUGGACUAAGCUGUGACUGCCAUAACCUCCUAAUUUUGUGGCUACCAUAAUUAGCAGUUACAAUUGCAGCCUCUGUUCUGGGAAAUUCAGGAAUUUCUUUUGUGCAGGAUCAGUAGCCCAGAGGCAUGAUGAGGUAGAGAAGGAAACAGAAUCAUGCUGCCACUCCAUUUAAAUCUAAGAUAAAUAAAAUCUUUGUCCUAUACUCUGUGUUGACCAUACCCAUAUGACCUUGUAACGAUUCCUAUGCUGUUCAGAGCCUAACAGAAAACUUGGCUGUAUUUUGUAGAAUCUGGAUAGCUGACAUUGGCAGGGAUUUCUAGGCAUCUUCCAGUCCAGCUCCCUGCUCAAGCAGAGCCAGCUACAGCAGGUUGCUCAGGGCUUUGUCAAUUGACUUUUGAAUAUCUCCAAGAUGACCCCUCUGGAUAAUUCACUCCAUUAUAGAAAGGUUGUUCUUAUGUGUAAAUGGAAUUUCCUGUAUUUCAAUCUGUGACCAUUGUUUAUUCAUUGAGAAAUACUGCAAACAGUCUCGUUCCACUCUGACCCUACUCCUCUCUAGGCUGAAAAAUCCCAGUUCUCUCACACCCUCCUUGCACGGCAGAUGUUCCAGUCACUGAAUCAUUAUCAUGGCCCUCUGCCAGACUCAAUCCACUAAGUCCAUGUCUCUUGUACUUGGGCCUAAUACUCCAAAUAUGGCCUUUCCAAUACUUAGUAGAGGGAAAAGUUCAUGUUACUCAGCCUGUUGGCAAUGCUCUUCCUACUGUAUACCAGGAUGUUGUUUUGGACUUCUUUGCUACAAGCCCACAUUGCUGGCUUUUAUUCAACUUGUCUGCCAGUACGUACAACUGAGUUUUUGCAAAACUGCUUUCUAGCCAGUUGCCCCAGCUUGCACUGGUUUACAGAAUUAUUUCUCCCCAGGUGCAGGAGUUUGUACUUCACUUUUUGGAACUUUACAAGAUUCCUGUCAGCCUGUGGAGAUCUUUCUUAAUGGCAACACAAUCACCUGUUGUGUCAGUUGUUCCUCCCCAUACUGUAUUAGACUGCAAAAUUUCUGAGGGUAUCCUUUGGUCCCUCAUCUGUACCAUUAAUGAAGAUAUUAAACACUAUGAAGCAUUAGCUGUGGCUCUUAGCGGUAGUUGUUAGAGUUAGGAUAGUAUGGUUAGGCUGUGGUUGGACUUGAUCUUUAAGGUCUUUUCCAACCUGAGCAGUUUUAGGAUUCUAUGACCACACUGAGAAGAAAAUUAGCCUGGAAGUGGCUGCAAUGGGUAAUGAUUAUCUGCUUCUGUUUGUUAUGAAACAUAUGACUUUAUAAUUGCUUCCUAAAAAUGAUCAUUUCUCUUCACCAUCUCCCCCUAUUCUCCUUCUCUUUCCGAGCAGGAAAAGUCAUAUAGACUCAUUCUUAUCUGAGAAACCUUCUUCAUUUUUCUUUGUAAUCGUUCUUCUUCAUUGUCCAUCUCAUUUAUUGUACUUGGCCAGUACACCAAUGUCUACCAGCUGCCAGCUGUUAAAGGAAAAUAAGAAGAUGCAUCCAUGCUGAAUUGUUUCCCUGUCUGUCAUGAAAACAGUUUGCAUUCCACACAAAAAAUUCAUUCGUGGUGUAAGGGAAUUGACGUCAGUACUGUUACACCCAGAAUGAUUUUGGCCCUGCAUAUUCAUUAUGCAAUACUUUCAGAUGCAGAACUCCAUCAUGAACAAAUGACUGCCAGAUGUGAGAGUAAGAUCUGCUCCUUUUUGUGAGGUCUAUGAACAUAUUCCCAUAUGUGGACUGUAAACUUUCUCAGUGUAUAAAUCUAUAUAUUCUUCAAGAAUAACUAUGCGGAAAAUAUUUUAAAUAUCAAUAUAAAAAACAAUAUAAAAAACAAUAACAAAUAAAAACCUAUAUUUAUUGCUUCAAA